rnacentral:lncRNA from 1 species
UCCUAAUUAAAGUUGAUACGGCGACGCAAGCGGCGAGGAACCUGAUCCAGCGGGGACGCCUCCGACGUCGACCACGAGGUGGGAAAGCAGAAGAAGAGGCAAGCGGAAGAUCGCCAACAGACCAUUCUUCAAAAAUUGAUUCCCUAGAUGCAACGGCAACACUCUGCCGCUCAACAAUAAUUUGGCGCAGAGAAGGAAGGUCCAAGACCGAGAACCGAGGAUCCAAAAUAUUCAAAAUUCGAUCCAGCUCCUCAAUCUCUCUCUGAAUAAAAUCAGCAAAGAGACUCACAAGAAGAG